rnacentral:rRNA from 1 species
GAUGAACGCUGGCGGCGUGCCUAAUACAUGCAAGUCGAACGGGGAGUAGCAAUACUCUUAGUGGCGAACGGGUGAGUAACGCGUUGGUACCUGCCCCGAAGCGGGGGAUAACGGACCGAAAGGUCCGCUAAUACCCCAUGUGCUCGGUAACGAGUAAAGGUGAAAACCACUUUGGGAGGGGCAUGCGUCCCAUCAGCUAGUUGGUAAGGUAACGGCUUACCAAGGCGAUGACGGGUAGGGGACCUGAGAGGGUGGCCCCCCACAAUGGAACUGAAACACGGUCCAUACACCUACGGGUGGCAGCAGUAGGGAAUAUUGGUAAUGGGCGCAAGCCUGAACCAGCAACGCCGCGUGUGCGAUGACGGCCUUCGGGUUGUAAAGCACUUUUGACGGGGACGAGGAAGGACGGUACCGGUCGAAUCAGCCUCGGCUAACUACGUG